UACGUAGGGAGCGAGCGUAAUCCGGAUUUAUUGGGUGUAAAGCGUGUGUAGGCGGUCCGUUAAGUCAGCGGUAAAAUUGCGGGGCUCAACCCCGUCGAGCCGUUGAAACUGGGGGCCUUGAGUGGGCGAGAAGAAGGCGGAAUGCGUGGUGUAGCGGUGAAAUGCAUAGAUAUCACGCAGAACCCCGAUUGCGAAGGCAGCCUUCCGGCGCCCUACUGACGCUGAGGCACGAAAGUGCGGGGAUCGAACAGG
rnacentral:rRNA from 1 species